GCAUGAUCCAUAGCCAGUGGCGGCUCGUGGGCCUAAGAGGCAGGGGUUCACAAAAUUAAAAAAUCCAAUGAUUUUAUUGAAUGAGAAAGGUUCACGAAUUUACAUAAUUGUUCACCAUUCUGUACAGUGUUUGAAAAUGAAAUCCAUUCUUCUUUCCUUCUUUGCAGCGAACUUAUCUAUAACCACAUCGUUAA